rnacentral:snRNA from 1 species
AAAAGGGGCUUCUGUCAUGAAUGGCACAUGUAGGGUGCCUCGUUUGCUCUUCAUGCGGAAUUGACAUCAAGAGAUUUCAGAAGUGUAAUUUUUGUUGCUUGGGCAG